GACGAACGCUGGCGGCGUGCCUAAUACAUGCAAGUUGAGCGCUGAAGGUUGGUACUUGUACCAACUGGAUGAGCAGCGAACGGGUGAGUAACGCGUGGGGAAUCUGCCUUUGAGCGGGGGACAACAUUUGGAAACGAAUGCUAAUACCGCAUAAAAACUUUAAACACAAGUUUUAAGUUUGAAAGAUGCAAUUGCAUCACUCAAAGAUGAUCCCGCGUUGUAUUAGCUAGUUGGUGAGGUAAAGGCUCACCAAGGCGAUGAUACAUAGCCGACCUGAGAGGGUGAUCGGCCACAGUGGGACUGAGACACGGCCCAAACGCCUACGGGAGGCAGCAGUAGGGAAUCUUCGGCAAUGGACGAAAGUCUGACCGAGCAACGCCGCGUGAGUGAAGAAGGUUGUCGGAUCGUAAAACUCUGUUGGUAGAGAAGAACGUUGGUGAGAGUGGAAAGCUCAUCAAGUGACGGUAACUACCCAGAAAGGGACGGCUAACUACGUG
rnacentral:rRNA from 1 species